rnacentral:rRNA from 1 species
GAUCCUGGCUCAGGAUGAACGCUAGCUACAGGCUUAACACAUGCAAGUCGAGGGGCAGCAUUUUAGUUUGCUUGCAAACUAAAGAUGGCGACCGGCGCACGGGUGAGUAACACGUAUCCAACCUGCCGAUAACUCGGGGAUAGCCUUUCGAAAGAAAGAUUAAUAUCCGAUAGUAUAUUAAAACCGACAUGGUUUUACUUAUUAAAGAAAUUUCGGUUUAGUUCGAUGGGGAGUGCGUUCCACUUAGUUUGUUUGGUCGGGGUAACGGGACCCG